AACAAUGGAAUAGAACGUGAUACUGGUGGGCUGGGGGAGGUCCCCGGACACUGGUGGGAUCUCGACCCCAGCCGUGGUGUCCAGGCUCUUGACACCAUCUCCAGAACAAAGUCAAAGAUGAGUCAGCAAAUAGUGAAAGAAGAGAUUUAUUGCAAAGCAAAAAAAUAUAAAAAACUAACAUGAGGUAAGCGCUAAGGUGUGGAGAUGGCUGUGCAAGAGAUGACAAAGUCCAACACCAUGCUUGAGAGUGUCCAAUCAUCUCUUCUGGGGCAGCAUAUUUUUCUACAAUACUGAAUUUGGAAAAAAAGAAAACCAACAACAUCAAAAAAAAAAACAAACAAACCUACAAGAUUGAUGUAACUGGACAACUGUCUUUAUAACAUUACCAGUGAUAAAACCAGUAAGGAAGGCUGGUUUGCAGUCAUCUGAGCAGCCUCUUUACUUUCAUAAAUAUGGUUUCUCUCUGAUAUUAAACGGCUUCCAAUUGCAAGUGGAAUGCUACAUCACAAGGAUAAGGAUGCGAAGAGAACCGGUUUCUUCUGUAAUCCGAAACACUCUAGUUUGAGAAUUAAAAGCCAUUAUUUGAAGAAGGGUGCCCGGCUCCAUCUGGUCUCCGAAAGGUUGCUCCUCAACACAGGAUAAGGAUCAGCUUCUUUGGAAGAGAACAGAUGCAGGGGCGGGAGGGAAAAAGGGAGAGACAGACGUCACUUCCCCUUGCCGGCUCUGGCAGCGGAUUGGUCGGUUGAGUGGCAGAAAGGCAGACAGGGACUUGGCAAGGCACUGUCGGUGACAUCACGGAUAGGGCGACUUCUAUGUAGAUGAGGCAGCGCAGGGGCUGCUGCUUCGCCACUUGCUGCUUCGCCACGAAGGAGUUCCCGUGCCGUGGGAACGGGUUUAGGACCGCUGAUCAGAACUGAAAAUCCCAGCUGUGUGUGAGGGCUGGCAAGGUCUCGGGAGUGCGCAGGGGAAGUGACCGUGUGUGUAAAGAGCGAGGCGUAUGAGGCUGUGACGGGGCAGCGGCAUAAGAUCUCAUACUUACCUGGCAGGGGAGAUACCAUGAUCACGAAGGUGGUUUUCCCAGGGCGAGGCUUAUCCAUUGCACUCCGGAUGUGCUGACCCCUGCGAUUUCCCCAAAUGUGGGAAACUCGACUGCAUAAUUUGUGGUAGUGGGGGACUGCGUUCGCGCUUUCCCCUGA